rnacentral:rRNA from 1 species
GAUGAACGCUAGCGACAGGCCUAACACAUGCAAGUCGAGGGGCAGCACAUGAGUAGCAAUACGAUGGUGGCGACCGGCGCACGGGUGAGUAACACGUAUGCAACCUGCCUGUAAGAGGGGAAUAACCCGGAGAAAUUCGGACUAAUACCGCAUAAUACCACGAGACUGCAUGGUUUUGUGGUUAAACAUUUAUGGCUUACAGAUGGGCAUGCGUAUGAUUAGAUAGUUGGUAGGGUAACGGCCUACCAAGUCUACGAUCAUUAGGGGUUCUGAGAGGAAGGUCCCCCACACUGGUACUGAGACACGGACCAGACUCCUACGGGAGGCAGCAGUGAGGAAUAUUGGUCAAUGGGCGAGAGCCUGAACCAGCCAAGUCGCGUGAAGGAAGAAGGUUCUAUGGAUUGUAAACUUCUUUUGCAGGGGAAUAAAGGACGGUACGUGUACUGUUUUGUAUGUACCUUGCGAAUAAGGAUCGGCUAACUCCGUGCCAGCAGCCGCGGUAAA